rnacentral:rRNA from 1 species
GAUGAACGCUGGCGGCGUGCCUAAUACAUGCAAGUCGAGCGAACAGACGAGGAGCUUGCUCCUCUGACGUUAGCGGCGGACGGGUGAGUAACACGUGGAUAACCUACCUAUAAGACUGGGAUAACUUCGGGAAACCGGAGAUAAUACCGGAUAAUAUAUUGAACCGCAUGGUUCAAUAGUGAAAGACGGUUUUGCUGUAACUUAUAGAUGGAUCCGCGCCGCAUUAGCUAGUUGGUAAGGUAACGGCUUACCAAGGCAACGAUGCGUAGCCGACCUGAGAGGGUGAUCGGCCACACUGGAACUGAGACACGGUCCAGACUCCUACGGGAGGCAGCAGUAGGGAAUCGUCCGCAAUGGGCGAAAGCCUGACGGAGCAACGCCGCGUGAGUGAUGAAGGUCUUCGGAUCGUAAAACUCUGUUAUUAGGGAAGAACAAAUGUGUAAGUAACUAUGCACGUCUGGACGGUACCUAAUCAGAAAGCCACGGCUAACUACGUG